rnacentral:rRNA from 1 species
AAGUCGAACGGUGAACACGGAGCUUGCUCUGUGGGAUCAGUGGCGAACGGGUGAGUAACACGUGAGCAACCUGCCCCUGACUCUGGGAUAAGCGCUGGAAACGGCGUCUAAUACUGGAUAUGUGACGUGACCGCAUGGUCUGCGUCUGGAAAGAAUUUCGGUUGGGGAUGGGCUCGCGGCCUAUCAGCUUGUUGGUGAGGUAAUGGCUCACCAAGGCGUCGACGGGUAGCCGGCCUGAGAGGGUGACCGGCCACACUGGGACUGAGACACGGCCCAGACUCCUACGGGAGGCAGCAGUGGGGAAUAUUGCACAAUGGGCGCAAGCCUGAUGCAGCAACGCCGCGUGAGGGACGACGGCCUUCGGGUUGUAAACCUCUUUUAGCAGGGAAGAAGCGAAAGUGACGGUACCUGCAGAAAAAGCGCCGGCUAACUACGUGCCAGCAGCCGCGGUAAUACGUAGGGCGCAAGCGUUAUCCGGAAUUAUUGGGCGUAAAGAGCUCGUAGGCGGUUUGUCGCGUCUGCUGUGAAAUCCGGAGGCUCAACCUCCGGCCUGCAGUGGGUACGGGCAGACUAGAGUGCGGUAGGGGAGAUUGGAAUUCCUGGUGUAGCGGUGGAAUGCGCAGAUAUCAGGAGGAACACCGAUGGCGAAGGCAGAUCUCUGGGCCGUAACUGACGCUGAGGAGCGAAAGGGUGGGGAGCAAACAGGCUUAGAUACCCUGGUAGUCCACCCCGUAAACGUUGGGAACUAGUUGUGGGGUCCAUUCCACGGAUUCCGUGACGCAGCUAACGCAUUAAGUUCCCCGCCUGGGGAGUACGGCCGCAAGGCUAAAACUCAAAGGAAUUGACGGGGACCCGCACAAGCGGCGGAGCAUGCGGAUUAAUUCGAUGCAACGCGAAGAACCUUACCAAGGCUUGACAUAUACGAGAACGGGCCAGAAAUGGUUCAACUCUUUGGACACUCGUAAACAGGUUGGUGCAUGGUUGUCGUC